AUGCUUAUAGAGGAAACUUUAAUCCUAGACCGUUUCCUAGUAAUUCCUCUAAUAAUUAUGGUAAUUCCUACAACAACUCUUAUGGAAAUUUUAAUAAGAUGCCCUUUGAUUUUGAGAAGUGUUAAAGAAUUUAUGAUCUCUCAAAAGAAUUUUAAUGCUUUGCUUGAAGAAAAAUUGCUUAAAGUUGAUGAUUUGGCUAGGAACAUUGAUAGACUUUCGCUUGAUGUUGAUUCUUUGAAACGUAGAUCUACUCCACCUAAGCAUGAUAUCAAUGAGUCUCUCAAAGCCAUGAGAAUUUCCAUUGAUGAGUGCAAAGAAAGAACCGCUAGGUUGCAUGCUAAGAAAGAUUGCUUUGUAAAAGCGUGUUCUUCUUUUCCAUGA
rnacentral:rRNA from 1 species